rnacentral:lncRNA from 1 species
AUAAUAAUAAUAAUAAUAAUUUUGAUGCAUUAUUUGUUUUUGUUUAUUAUCAGAUUUUAACUUUUUUUACCUUAAUUCAUUAAGUAAAUUGCAGUGGCAUAGACUGCCAUUAUAACUGCCUGUUUUGAUUGCACAAUCAUAACAGGAUAUAAUCAUGCAUUCUGCAAUGUCGGUGGUCUCCCUCGUUGGAAAGAGGUAAAAUUUGUCAUUUUUACUGUCAAUGUGUGUGUGUGUAAACUACAGACAACAAAAAAACAAAAUAAAGGAAUUUCUACAGCCGUCGUUUUUAGAGGACGUUUCGUCCCUAACAGUACAUCAGGGAGUUGGUUAUUUUUAACGAUACCAGAGGGUUAAACAGAUUAAUCAAGGUGUAGUAGAGGGAAAACAACAAAGCUGCCCCUAGUCUCAAGUGGAAUCCUAGUGUAUUUUCUCAUAUUACUGUCAAGCCUUGCACAUUUUAAGUCUGAUGACAGACCUGAAACAACAAGGAUGCCAAAGUCAGAAGAGUCUGAAGGAUAUGUGAAAAAAAUCUCCUUUUUGGUGUACUCCUUAUACACUACAUAAUAAAACCCCUCAUGCAGAAGUAUAUUUUGUACCAAAGCAACAGCACUGUUAAUUCUAAUGCAGUUGUCACUACAUGAAGUUGUGAUAGUCACACCAUCAAUCAAUAAAUACUUAAACUGUUUUACAGUGUCCAUUAAAUGAGGCACAGGUCCUUCUCUGUGCUGCCCCUUUGCUAAAGUUUUCUGUUUCUCAGUUAUGGUUUCAGCACAGGUGCUGUCCAUUUCUGAGACACGUCGGAUUAUCUGACUCAAAGGACUGUGUGGUUUCCUGACCAUUUUCUUUAAUUUAUAGAGAUAAUUUUCAAAAGGAAAUCCAGAUAUGAGAUCUAAGUGACCAUGAACCUUAACAUCUUCACUGAGGUGGACUAAACCAUGAAUGUUGUACACAACAAACUGAGCACCGUAUAGCUGACUGAAAUGGUCCACAAAUGAGCACAGUAAAGCCCUGGCAAAGUCAUUCAUCACUAAACAUAAUGAUGGGCUAGCUAAAAUGUGAAUGGCAACUGAAAGCAGCAUGAAGUUCUUGUAGACCUCCUCAGCCAAAACACCCUUCAAAACAACUGGACCUGUGUAUAAUAGAAACUGUCUCAGUUCAGUUGCUUUCCACCUCAGUCUCUCUUUAACUGCUCUUGGUUUCCUGGCAAACUCAGCUGGUAUAAAGGCUUUCAAACUGAUCAGUUUUUCCGAUAUGACACUGCACUGACCAGCAGAUAUGCGGCAACAUAGAGGUCCAGCACUUCCCAUCCAUAGAUCUAAAAGCCUGCGUACUACACCAAGACAUACAAAAUGCAUAUAGUCAUAUGGGGAAACAGCUCACCAUGCCAAUAUUCAAAUCAGUAAAAGGUGAGUGCCCCACAUGAUGAUCUUCAUCACUACAGCAUUUGAAAAGCUCGUCAGUCCUAGGGGCAGCAUGCAUAUCUGGGAAAGUCAUACGAUGGUUCAUGUAAAGACCUGACUGAAUACAUUUGUCGCAUCCAGAAUACCCUGUGUGAGACUUAAUGGCUUUAAUGUAAGAUCUAGCUGGAGCAUCACAUAUAACUGAACUCACUUUCA